AGGCGGGGCUUGGAUUAUUUGAAGGAGAUCAUUGCAAACAAAAGGAGAUCGUUGCAGUCAAGGAGUGGGCUGAACCUUCAGAUGACUGGUGGCCACACAGCACAGACAGAAGGAAGCCAGAGAGCGAAGCCAGGGAACCGUAGGCAGGCGGUCAGAAUGUGCCUCGUACAGCGCCUGGGUCCAGUCUCCGACGAUACGGAUGUGGGCGCUGAAGUAGUCCUCCUCGGGGGCGGACGUCAGGGUGAAGGGGUGCCACUCCAGCCUGGAGACUGACGGACACUGGAUGAAGACGUACUGACCCACCUCCAUAUGGAAACCUUUCCUCUUCAUCUGCAACUCCAGAGUCUUAGACGGGUGCAUCACCACCUGAGGGACAGCACACACACACACACACACACACACACCUUGGUGAUGACCACUUUCUGGUGGGAGCGAUAGAGUCGGACGAGCCUCUCACACACAUAGAGGAUCAUGGGGCCCACCACCCACUUCCACGUCUGCAGAAAAGCCGUGGAACACCAGUCCGAUGAAGAAGAUGACGAAGAGGUGGUGUGUGUACCAGAAGACCUCGAAGUAGGACCUGCGGAUCACCUCCAUGGAUGAAGUGAUGAUGAGGAUGAGGGCCAGCGUGAUGACCACGCCCGUCACACCGGCGAUGGUGGUGAACAUGACGAUGGUAGGGUUCUGCGUACAAACACACAGGGGUUAGUCGCGGCGUGGGUCCAGGUCACAGGGUCAGCGCCUCCAACGCCCUGCAGGCCAGGUUCAUUGGCUAACUUCCCUCAUGUACCAAUGUCUGUUUUGUCAUAGUUCCUCUCCAUGCUGCCACCGACUGUGAGCACGUACUCUCUGCUGCUUCCGUAGGAAGUGUGAAGCUAGUUUGGAGGCUAAAAAGUGACUGUUCAAGUGAACGUCACAGGGGUUGUGGAGUUGUUAUAUUAUAGAAAUUAAACUGAUUUGGUAAUUUCUUCAGUAUACUUUUUUAUUUUUUAUUUAAGUAAACUUGCAACUGAAAUUUUGCAUUUCAAACAUUUGAAAUACUAAAAGUAAUCAAAGUGACAGUUAGAUACAAUUAGUGCAAGAAGUUGAAACAGUUAAAGUGGAAGUACUGUAAAAGUGUGAGCACUGACUAAAGUUGAAUGUCCAUUGAGGUGUCUAAACGGAAAGACAAAAUGCCGUUUGAAGUUGAUUGUGUGUGAUCGUUGGAGCGGUUAGAAGAGUUCAAGCUUUGGGGUGGGGUUUUCACUAGGAAUGCCAGUUGAAGUAAACAGAUGUCAAAAGGAGUAGAACAUCACUAAACGCAGAUAAAGUCUCAGUUUAGGAAUGAGAGAUGAAAGCAGUUGGAUUGUCAUUUUAAAGAGGAAAUGAUGAAAAAAGUUGAAGAGUAAGUGCUGAGUAAAGUGUCCGUAGAAGGGAAGAAAGAAAUGCAGUUCAAAGUCUGAGAGAAGACUUUUAUUAGAGGAAGCAACAAUCUUACAACCUUACCUGACUAAAAUCUUAAAAUGCACGGACGUUUACACUUAAAGGACAGAGAGUGGGAGGAGAUUUUUAGCAUGUUGGUGGCCUUAGACUUAGAAUAUUUCAUCCUCACCAUAACUUACUUAAAGCUGUUGCACACAGUCAUUUAUUGUUAGAUUUCGCCCACGAGGCCGACGAGAUGCUACGUAUUUUGUUUUUAUGCCACAGAAGAUGCAACUCUUCUUUAUUUGUGUCAAAGCUUUUAAAGAAAUGCAUUAUAAAGCUAAAUACUGUAAAGGAAGUUUUUUAAAUGACAAAAUACCUCCAAAGAGGAAGUUUGUUGGAUGAAGUAAUACUUUAUUUUUUUCUCAUUGACACCAAAUUUGGCAGUUAAGCAGAGGGGAUUUCACAGAUUUGAGCAACACAAGAAGCUUCCGUAACCACAACUCACCGUCUCAUUGGUCCUGAUGGGGUUCAGGAAGGAGGCGUUGUCCCCGGUGCCGAUUUCAGACAGGAUGAAGGGCAGAAGGCUGCUGUUGCGAUCCAGCUGGGCGUCCAUGAAAAACUCAAAGUUAAACAAAUGUGCACCGAUGUGCACCGCUACGAGAGGGCGAGAAGAGAGCUUUAUUAAGAAUAAAGUGAUUUUAAAUAGUCCAAACGCUCUGUGAAGCUGCAGAAUUCUUCUUAUAACUCAUAAAUACGACUAAGUGAUGUGAAGUUAUAUAUAUUUUAGUGUAUGUUUUGACCACAUAAAUCAAAAACACUGGAUUGUCACAGAUAUAAUGGCAUAUAUGGAUGUUUUAUAGAUUACAAUUUUAUGUAUAUUUGAUAUUAGUUACUUAAUUCAAUUAACAUAUUUCAAGUUGUGUUUCGUUGGACAACUGUCAUUUAACUUCCUCCCAAUCAAUGAAGAAAAACCUGAUAUUGUGUUUUUCAUUGUUUAUUUUAAUAACUUUGCAUCAUUUUACAACUUAAUUAAAGUAAUUUGUGCUUCCGUGUUUUUCCGGUAUUGAUCAUUGUAACACGCGCUAAGAUCCUCAACAAUAAUACCUGUGUGGAAGGCGAUCAUGUACGCCACCAGUUUGUGAAAGGUGAGGUUUCGAUCGAGCUGACGAGCGGCUGUGCGGCUGCAGCACUGAAUACAAACAGACAGACAAACGUUGCAAAACAGUGUUAGCAGAUCAGUCCAGUCCUCUGAUAGUUAGAAAUACAAAUUGGAUCCCUCAUAAGCAUCUUUAUAUCAUGAUUUUUUGAAUGGAGUUUGGUGUUUCGGAGUGAUACCUGGAUGGUUCCACGGAGGAAGGACAGGAGGUUUCGGCACACUGGCAGCAGGAUGAGCAUACAGUUAAAGUUGAGGCAGGCGGCGGGAGCUCUGGCCCAGGACAGAGCAUGCUGACGGGUUAGAGAGAGCCGGGUUACUUCAGAUCACUUUACAGCGCUCGUUUGGAAAUGAAUACUUUCUCUUUUAUCCCUAAAAGAUCUGUGAAUAAAUAUACAAGUUGUAACUUUGUGAGUAUUGUUCCUCAUGUCUCUUAACAUUGAUGAUGGUUGAUAACUUUAAAUAUAGAAAAACCAGAUAGUAGAAAGCGCAACAGAUUGUUUCACUUCUGCUCACUUGGAUGCAUCUGUGCAGUAAGGGCUCAGUGUUUCAUGAAGCCAGUUGUGACCACAGAAGAAACUUACGCUCACGUCACACCUGCUUCCUUUCACUGCCAAGCACUGGAAGUGUAGAUACAAGGUGGAGUAGAUAUGGUGUGGUGUUGGGCUGCUUUAUACUGUGGCAUUUUGUUACUGGAAGAUGAUAAAUAAAUCAGCUGCUGAAACUCAA